UUAUUGCUCUGAUUGAAUCAGAAAAGGAGUGGUCUAACUUUGCAACUUCUUUUUCAAACUUCAGAUCGUCCAAAUGAAAUAAAAACAAAUGGAUUUCAGAGUCAAGCAGAAAAAACACAUAAUAAAAGCAAAAGCAAUCAGGAUUUCAUUAAAAAGAACAUUGAGCUGUCAAAGGAUUCAGGAAACCAGGUUGCUUUGCUUGAGGAAGAAAAGAAAAGGUUGAUUGAGCUACUGAAAGAUACAGAAGAUGGAAGUGAAUUACAGGGUCUUGAGGAAUCUCUGGCUUACGCAAACAGAAGACUGGAAGCAGUUCCAGGUGAGAAGGUUCUGCGAUACAAUAAGGAGCACCGUGAUCAGCAAAACCGUCUGAAAGAAAUAGACCAUCAGCUGAAAUCCCUGGAGGGAAAUCUUGUCACUCCACUACACCUCACCUCAUGUAUGCUGUGCAACAUGGUUUCAGCUGGGCCUGUGCACAAAACAAGGCUGGAAGACAGAGACUUUAAUGUACUUUACAAUAUUAACAUAAAAAUCAGAAAAUCUGCUUAAGUAUUAUGUUUGAAGUAACGAAACUGAGGCCUUUGCAACUUGAGGUCUUCCUUUACUUUUAUUAAAAAAAGUCCUCAGUGAAUUAAUAUACCAAAG
rnacentral:lncRNA from 1 species